UCAGUUCCUCUUCCAUCUCUCUCUGCUGAGACUUGAGAACUCUGCUAGGGCACACUGGACUUUCUCCUUGAGCUAGCUGGAAUCCUUUCGUUUUCAAUUUUUGUGCUGCAACUCGCUACUGUAGUUCCUGAAGCUGUAGUCCUCCUUAGUUGUGGGCUUGUUUCUUUUAGCGUCCAAAAAGUGGGAGCAGAUGGGAAGCACGUUGAAGGUGGACCUGAUGGUAACAGUGGUGCAGCGUAGAGGGUCCUGUCACCUCUGGCUCUUGGGGAGCAUUUUUAUGGCAUCAGUGCCUAUUGUUUUUCCUAGCUCUAGAGGUUUUGUUUUGUG